rfam:Catabacter hongkongensis strain HKT16 2806ref_2ab_c55, whole genome shotgun sequence.
GUUUGAGUGGAGCUGUCCUUAGUACGAGAGGACCGGGAUGGACGUACCAAUGGUGUACCAGUUGUUCUGCCAAGAGCAUCGCUGGGUAGCUACGUACGGACGGGAUAAACGCUGAAGGCAUCUAAGCGUGAAGCCCCCCACAAGAUAAGACUUCCCAUCCUUUAUGGAGUAAGGCCCCUUGUAGACUACAAGGUUGAUAGGCUGGAGGUGUAAGUGCAGCAAUGUAUUAAGCUGACCAGUACUAAUAGGCCGAGGGCUUGAUCAA